CGCCAUUAAAUCUGAGUUUUGAAAGUGCAAUACAAUUGUCCUGUUUGUGCCUGAAACUAUAUAAACUGCCAUUGACACUACAAGACCAUGAUAAUUUUACAGUUUUAUACUUAUAGUUAUACUACACUUUAUGUAGUCCUUUGUGUUCCCAUGCAAUUAGGCAUUUCUUUAUAAUCCAAAACAUCUCUGGUUGCUUCUUUAAAGGGGACAAUUACUGGAUAAUUUCAUGGUGUAGCCUACUUUAGUGUACCCCAGGCAGAAGCAUUGUCUUUGUUUAUCACGCUUUUCCAGGCAUGCUUGAAGUGGUAGAGUAGCAUGUUUAUGUAAAUCUGCUCGUGUUUAUGGCUUUGUGGUUCCGUUUAAGUGAGAUGAUAGUUUGCGAAUGAAGUGAGAUGAUAGUUUGCGAAUGAAGUGGCACGACCUGACUCUCCAAAUGUGCCUUUAAUCCAGUCACAACCCUCCUCAGUCAUCUUUGAUAGGUCACGCUUAAGAGAGGUGCUGGAGGGACAGUACCGAAGUGAUUGAAUGCGUACUGACAAUCCCUCCAUCACUGCUUACAGGGCGUCUGGCAAUCAAGGGACAGAACGAGGCUAAUUGGCCCUCAUAACCCUGUAUUAUCUCGGUAGUUACGGACGCCCACCGGCAGAGCACGGCGCGAGCGCCAUCUGUGCGCUUUAUUUUCUCCUAGUGGCGAAGAGGGGAGAGAGAGAGAGGAGAGGGGAGUUUGAAUCUCUCCGCCCGCACAAUCUAUUCACCUCCUCGGCUAGCAGAGAACGUGCGGUGCCUUCUCCGUUCAUGGAUUUUAAGGUUUCACUCGGACGCACGGGACUCCGAUGGCUGAUUGUCUCGCCGUGGGCUUUUAAAAUCGCAGGCGCACUCACUUCGAUGGUGAGUUUUUUGGCGUAGCUAAAGGCAGAGCGCGCGAUGGCUGAGCCGCAGUCUUCUGAAUCCGUGGCGGGACCCUUGUAUGAGCUCGUCUCCGAGGAGACCACUCCGACCCGGGACGCGGCGGCGGCGCUGAGCAUUAGCGAAACCUACCAGACAUACCUGGACGUGUCGGCGGCUGUACACCCGGGGUAUGGGGCCGAGGGGGUGUACUCAAACGGACGGUACAGGGAGCACAGCAGCCCGAGGAUCGGCACCCGGAACCGCGACAGCUCUGCAGAGAGGUGCACCGGCACCGGGAAUCCACCUUGCGGUAUUAUGAAGUUACUCCUCAUCACAUGGACACGCUUUCAAACAUGCGCUGACAGUGUCAUUCUCAUUCAGGAGCAGUCUGCAUGCAGACACCCUUCAGCAGUUCAGUGCAAACACAGCUGUGUUAUGAAACAAGGCUAAUGCGCAGACGACCCUCACAGAUCCACUCCCAAUAACAUGCACAUGGCUUGGUGAAAUGACUUCCUGUGCAGCGAUGCCAAAAUAAUCCAAGUGCCGAAAUAAACUUUUUUCCAGGAAAUGAAAUUCAACUCUCAACCUUUUGAACUAAGUUGCCUGGUACCAGAUAUUGCCUUUUCUGAGUUUGUUUUACUCAUUUCAUCAGGUCUCUAGCACAAAUCAUUACAAGUCUGUUUGAAUGUAAAUACACACACAUUGCUUGAAGUGUUCGAUGUUGAAAUCGUUUGUUUGAAUGUUUGUUUGAGCAUUUUUACCAGCAACAUUGGUUUAAUUGACAAUGCUUUGGGACAGGACUAUGUUUUAAAAUAAAAUAAAUAUAAAGCAAUUAAAUACCAAUAAAAACUAAUAUAAUUCAUUAUGAAAUGUUGCAAAUUUGUGUCAUUAAACACAUAAUCAUGGAUGUCAUCUACACAAAACAUGCUGCAUUUUCAGAUCAAUGUUAUUGAAAGUAAGAUAACUUACAGUUCAGAGAGAGUAAAAUGUUGAUUCAUUAACCACUCUGAUGGAUUCAGUGAGUUCAUUCAGUGAAGGAUUCACUAAUUCAAACUCCUGAGGUUGUGAGUCAUAUUUGAUUAAUUAAAAGAACUGGAUCAAAAGAGUCAGGUGUGUAAAAUGUGCUACACUUCUUCUACCAUUUUUGGUAUUGUCAGUCUCAUCUUUAAUUCAAUUCAGGCUGUAAAUUCACAUUUGCAGCUCAGGUAAAUUACCAGAAAAAAAUAUUGACAUUGCUUCAGUAUUAUGUGCUUAGAACUAACCAACUAAAUUCCACAAAACUGCUAUUUUCAUUUUAUGCUGCCUUUAAAGUGUGUGGUUUGAUAGUGUGCAUUCAUAUGUGUCUAGAGUUCAUGAAGAUUAGCUGUCAUAACAGAUCUCUUCAUCAGAAGUGUGUUGAUGUGAUAUGGGCUUGAUAUGGUUUUGAGCCAGAUGAAGACUCCCCUGGUAUUUCUCCCUGCGUAUGUUUCGACUUGGAAAGACUCCAGAACAGGAGUUCAUAUUUAGAUCAAGUAAUCAGAUCUAUUUGGAUGUUUCUUCUGGCAGUGAACACAUUCAUAUCUCUGAUCUUCUGUGUAUGCAUGCUGUUUUUGCUGGUAUGAGAUUGGUAGAGUCUCAUCUGUGAAGAAAUUGUAUAGCUUUUAUUGAAGCUGAAGACAGCAACUUUUGACCUUUGAUAGUUUAAAUAUCGCUGCACUUUGUAUUUCUUUCUUUUAUGUGUGCUAAAGCAUGCAUGUAUGUGUAGGUGUAAUUGUUUUUUUCUUUUUUUAAAGGACACUCAGUGGUCAUUAUCAGAGGUUAUAUGUUAAAAGCUUGAUUUAAGUGGCAUACCUGCUAUUGGUUGCUCUUUCCUGUCUGUUCUGUAUUGAUUGCUGUGUUACAGAUUACACUGACGUGUGUGUGUGUGUGUGUGUGUAUAUGUGUGUGUAUAUGUGUGUGUAUAUGUGUGUGUAUAUGUGUGUGUGUGUGUGUGGUACUUUAGAUGGGUACUUUAGAUUUUAUGUAACUGAGGCAGGUGUAGAUUUAUGGUUGUUUCCUUAUAUGUAUUCCAGACAAUAGUUGUCCUUAUUUCCUUUGAUUACAUGCGUGUGCCUUGUCUUGCACCAUUUUCUUUAUUUCCCCUAAUGUAUAUAAUUGUAAAUUUGUUAAUGUUUUAUAGCCUAUUGCCACUGAUUUGCACCUGACUUCCCUGUUUAGGAUUAGUAGUGUCAAUAUCUGUUUAUAUCUUUCCUGGAAAAGACAACAUGUGUUGUUGUCAUGCUCUGUAGAAAAUUAAAGGAGCAGUGAUUAGUUUUCUUUUUCUAUUCAAUGUUGGUUGAUUAUGGAGUGAUAUGGAAGGUAUAUUUAUUUUUUGUUGAGUAAUAGUAUAUAGAAAUUACUUUUUCAUUAUGUUAUUUUCAGAUAGUUCUUGUUCUGUUCACCCCUAGCAAUACUGAUAUAAGCCUAGUAGGGAUGUAACAGUACACAAACAUGGUUUUGAUGUCACAGUUCGGUAUAGUUUUGGUACAUCAGAGGGAAAAAAUAAGCAUAAAAUAGAUUUUUUUAUGAUUAAUCAGUGGUUUACUGAACAAAUUGCUCUUUCUUUAAAUAAAUUCAAUUGUAAUUAAAAUUUUCUUAGGGAUAAAAAAUCGACCUCAGCUCUAAACCAGUGGUUCCCAAACCUGGUCCUGGAGGCAUCCCAACACUGCACGUUUUGCGGGUCUCCUUAAUCAAACACACCUGAUUCAGUUCAUCAACUCAUUAGUAGAGACUCCAAGACCUGAAAUUGGUGUGUCAGAGAAAGGCAACAUGCAAAAUGUGCAGUGUUGGCUGCCUCCAGGACCAGUGUUGGGAACCACUGCUCUAAACUAUAGUGAGCCCUUUUACAAUAUUAUAUGGUUACAAUUAACACCAGAGCCCAAACCUAAAUUCAAUUACUAUUUAUUUUUUAAAUAUAAUAAUCAACACUCAACUUAAAAAUAAAUCGCAUACAAACAUGGAAAUUGCACAUAAAGCAGUUUUUAAAUUAACUUAUAAAUUAUACAAUUUCUAUUUGUUGUUAAAAUAUAUUCAUUUACACAGUGGCUGUUAUAAAUUGUUUCAUAAUAAAUUUAUUUAAGCAUACGUUAAUAAGUAAGACAUCACUAACGGGUAAAGUAAAAUAUGAGUAGAUAGUCUAAUAUUUUGAAAAGUUUAACUAUUCUAUAACUAAAAGCUGUGGAAAAAACUAAAUUGAAAUAAUUUGUGUUUUUUUACAUGAUAUGAAAUCAAAACAUUGAACAGAUGUUGUGUUUGUGGACUAAACAGCCGCGGAUCAGUAGCGGACUGCAAACGCGUCCCACUGCAGACGGAGUUUCUGUGAAACAGGCGUUACAGGGAAGAUGGAUGCUGCAGAACUAGAAGAACAUGACACAGAAGAACUUGUGCCAAAAAGAGGAGCCUGGUCUGUUGUUUGGAGGGUUUUUGUUUUCCCAAAAUCUGACUUCGACCAAACAACCAUUUUAUGCAAGUGCUGUCGGGCUAAAAGCACGUCUUGGAAUAUCAACCAGCAGAAAAUGCAUUGUACACCUGAUUAUGCAAAAAAAACGUCAUAAACUGGGAAACCGGCAUAAUUUAGAAAAAAACCGUGAUAUAAAUUUUUGCUCAAACCGCCCAGCACUAAUGAGAUGUUCUUUCAUGUUUAUUUCACGUUUAAACUAGUAGUAAACAGGAAGGGAAGAUCGCGCUUACUCGCUUGUUGUCACUCGUUUGAAUUGAGGUGUUUAUACAGCAAAUUGUCACACCACAUCAAAGAACGUCAAAACAUAAUUUAUUGUUUAAAUUUCCUGAAAAAAUUAACAUGAUUUGAAAGAUGAGACUUUCUUUCUUACCAAAAGCAACAAUAUAUAAAACUGGAAAUUUCCAAUAAAGUUCUAUUUGUGCAGUCUUUAAAACAUUGCUGUAUUUGUUUUUUCGAUACAAAUUUGUGUACUGUUACACCCUAAAGCCUAGGCUUUACUGUGAUUUUUAAUUCUCAGCAGGUGUUUGUGUGGUGCCAAAGUACCAGAACUUUCAACAUCCCAACUCAAGGCAUAGUGAUUUUUAAAAUAUGCAUUCUAGUAUGUUCCAUAGCUUUGAUAACCUAUAUAAGAAACGAUUAUAUGUAAUGUUUGCUUUUUAGAUUGCCUGUGUCAGAUAUACUUAUCGGCCUUCUUUGUACUCUUUCUGCAGGAUGGUUCAAAGCAGAGGCAGGCAAAAAAGA
ensembl:lncRNA